UGGGGAAUAUUGGACAAUGGGCGCAAGCCUGAUCCAGCAAUGCCGCGUGGGUGAAGAAGGUCUUCGGAUUGUAAAGCCCUUUCGGCGGGGACGAUGAUGACGGUACCCGCAGAAGAAGCCCCGGCUAACUUCGUGCCAGCAGCCGCGGUAAUACGAAGGGGGCUAGCGUUGCUCGGAAUUACUGGGCGUAAAGGGCGCGUAGGCGGCGCUGCAAGUCAGGCGUGAAAUUCCUGGGCUUAACCUGGGGGCUGCGCUUGAGACUGUGGUGCUAGAGGACGGAAGAGGGUCGUGGAAUUCCCAGUGUAGAGGUGAAAUUCGUAGAUAUUGGGAAGAACACCGGUGGCGAAGGCGGCGACCUGGUCCGUUACUGACGCUGAGGCGCGAAAGCGUGGGGAGCAAACAGG
rnacentral:rRNA from 1 species